UAUGGCUGGUGCAGGGCAUUUGUUAUGUUUAGUUGGUCAGGUCUGAAAAGAAGCAGCCAGAGCAUAAAUUAAAUGGGUCAGCACCAGCUUUGAAU
rnacentral:SRP_RNA from 1 species